rnacentral:lncRNA from 1 species
CAUUGACCGUGCUUCCCGUGUUAAUGAGUACUCUUCCGACUUCCAGAUCUCGUAUGACGAGAUCUAUGACGAGAUCUAUGACGAGCGGAUCGCAGUGAGGUUGAUCGAUCCCACCGGCUUCCUCCUUCGUGAAGGUGAUCUUCGGGUAGGAGACCAUGUAGGCCAGUUUGCGCUCGACUCCGCCUUCCGCUGGUAAGCCUUGAUGGCCG